AGGUGGCGCCCUUGCGCUCAUGAAUUAGCAGAAAUGACGCCGUGUUAUCCUGGGUGACCUGGUUUGAAAAGCACACGACUUCAUCUAUAUGUCGCUACAGUUCUGUUGAUGUCGUGUCUCAUUUUUUUAGGGAAGGAAAAUAUAAGAGUUCGACCACAUAUUUUAAUUUUCUGGCCGCUCUCCAAGAAAGGAGGCGUAUAUUCCGCAUCCCCAUCCUCCUCCCGAUCGCCUCUGUGUUGUAAGGGGAGUUCGGGAGGAGAACCGCAGUCCAACAGGCUGGGUGGGCGGGGGCUGAGAGGGACGGAGAAAGCCGGACAGUGAAGGGCGAUGGCGGCCGGUGCGGGAUGCGGAGAGUCUGUGGAUCAAUACCGGUCCGAGGUGGAACGGCUGGCCCGGGAGCUGAUCGAAGCGAACGGAGAGAAGAUUCGGGCUGCGGAGUGCGGGCUGGUGGUUCUGGAGGAAAACCAGGCGCUGAAGAACAAGUGUGCUGAACUGGAGAGCGAGCAGGAGGCUCUGAGGAAGGAGUUGGAACAAUUGCAAGAGGCAUUCGGCCAAGCGUACAGCAACCAGCGCAAGGUGGCCGAGGACGGCGAGAGCAAUGAGGAGACGUUGCUGCAGGAGUCUGCCUCCAAGGAGGCGUACUACAUGUCUCGUCUUUUGGAGCUGCAGACAGAGCUGACCUUGAGUCGCUCCGCAGCUUCUAACACCCAGUCAGAGAACGAGGGGCUCAACGCAGUCGUGCUGGAUCUGCGAGAAACGAAUGAAAUGCUGGAGCUCCAGAGGAGUAGGAUGAGGGAAGAGAACAAGGAGUAUAAAUUCAGAGAAACGAGGCUCCUUCAGGAUUACACAGAGCUCGAGGAGGAGAACAUCACCUUGCAGAAAUUGGUCUCGACGCUCAAGCAGAGCCAGGUGGAGUAUGAGGGUCUCAAGCAUGAGAUUAAGGUCCUUGAAGAGGAGACUGUUCUGCUCAACAGCCAACUUGAAGAUGCUUUGCGUUUGAAAGAAAUCUCUGCUGGGCAACUGGAAGAGGCCCUGGAUGCCCUCAAGAGUGAGCGUGAGCAGAAGAACAAUCUGCGAAAAGAGUUGGCCCAUCACCUCAGCCUGAGUGACAGCGUCUACGGCGCGGGCGCCCACAUUGCCCUCACUGUCACUGGCGUUGAAGGCCUCAAAUUCCCGGAGGAGGUCAACGGAAGCGACGGCGCCAACAGCAGCAACGGCAGCGUUCUUGCCGCUGUCAACGGCAACGGUGAGGACUGUUGUCGGCACAACGGUCACCUUCAUGCGGGCGCCAUGUUGGCCAAAAUGAAUGAAGACUACCAUGCGGGCAGAAAGAGCGAGGGUCUGCACCCGGUACCUGACCUGUUUAGUGAGCUCAACCUGUCGGAGAUGCAGAAGCUCAAACAGCAGCUCAUACAGGUAGAGCGUGAGAAAGUUGCACUGCUCAUGAACCUACAGGAAUCGCAGACCCAGCUGCAACACACACAAGGCGCACUAACCGAGCAGAGUGAGCGAGUCCAUCGCCUCACGGAGCGCGUCAACGCCAUGAAGCGUCUUAAUGGUGGCAAAGGGCUGGAUGACCCUCAAGACAGUGACAAACAUGCCGACGGGACAAUGUCACCUCAAGCUAAUGGUCACUGUGAUGUGGACAUAAAUGGGUUUGAGGUUCUGGAGUGUAAAUACAAGGUGGCGGUGACAGAGGUGAUCAACCUGAAAACAGAGCUGAAGGCCUUGAAGGAGAAGUACAGCCAGGCUGCGGAGGCACAAGCAGAUGCUCACAGUGACGACAGAAUACGCGCACUGGGCGAACAGGUAACCCAUUUGGAGAACACUUUACGAGAAGGCCGUGAGAGGGUGGUGAGCUUGGAGGCGGAGCUACGUGCUGCUGUGAGUACUGCCGCAGAGAGUCAGCUCCUUCUGAACACGGCACAGGACGAGCUGGUGACCUUCAGCGAGGAGCUUGCUCAGCUCUACCACCACGUGUGCCUGUGCAAUAAUGAGACACCCAACCGCGUCAUGCUCGACUAUUACCGGCAGAGUAGAGUCACACGUAACGGCAGCCUCAAAGGCUCUGAAGAGCCCCGGGCUUUACUUUCACCCCGCCUAGCUCGACGCCUGGCUGCGGUUUCGGCACUCUGCUCUUCUGAGGCUCAGCGAAGUCCCAUGGACUCCCCGUCUAAAGAUUCCCAACACAGUGACACAACAACCAAUGCAGCGGACUCUCCCAUCCACCACGGUAGCCCCACCCGCAACACCACCAGCUCGCCUGUGACCAGCAUGUCCCCUCGCCAAUCACCGGUGCCCUCCGAGGCAGUGGGAGACCUGCGGAAGGAGCCCAUGAAUAUCUACAACUUGAACGCCAUUAUUAGAGACCAGAUCAAGCACCUGCAGAGGGCUGUUGACCGCUCCCUGCAGUUGUCCAGGCAGAGGGCUGCUGCCAGAGAGCUUGCACCCACGCUCGAUAAAGACAAAGAAUUGUGUUUGGAGGAAAUUCUGAAGCUCAAGUCGCUUCUUAGUACCAAAAGAGAGCAGAUAGCCACACUCAGACUGGUUUUGAAGGCCAACAAACAGACAGCAGAGGUAGCACUGGCCAAUCUGAAGAGCAAGUAUGAAAAUGAAAAGGCGAUGGUGACAGAGACGAUGAUGAAGCUGAGGAAUGAGCUGAAGGCCCUCAAAGAAGAUGCCGCCACCUUCUCCUCCCUCAGAGCAAUGUUUGCUACCAGAUGUGAUGAAUAUGUUACCCAGUUGGAUGAGAUGCAGAGACAACUUGCAGCAGCGGAGGAUGAAAAGAAGACACUAAACUCUCUCCUCCGUAUGGCCAUCCAGCAGAAACUGGCCUUGACCCAACGGCUGGAAGAUCUGGAGUUUGACCAUGAGCAGAUCCAUCGUGGUCGCGGCGCUAAAGUGCCCAAGAUAAAAAGCAGCCCACCAAAAUUUCUUGUAGAUUGUCAGCAGCCUGCUGCCUCAGUAUCGUCACUCACCACACAGCUAAGCUAGCCUGGCAGUUGAAUUGAGUUGGACAGAGAAGAACAUCUGCUGGCUCUUGGUCGAUUGCGAUCGACGUAUUGGGAACCCCUGCCUUAAAAACAGUCCUAAAUUUCGUGCUGACCUUCAAGAACACAAAACAGUUUUGUGCAGCGGUAGGAGUCAUCUUUUAUCCUCUUUUGACCUUCGUGACUGCCUGACCCACCAACCCAAGCCACCUGGCACCUAGCCCAGUACAUAUCGGCUGUCGACUGGAAGCGGUGUUCCUAUGCAGCUCCUUGAAGCCCUACGAAGAUGUCACUGGAUGUUUUGACCCAGAGGUGCUUUCCUGGCCCGCUGGUUCCCUGUGUCACAAGAGACAGGUGCACACAAAUGAGACAAAUCACAUGACUCUUUGCCCCUAUUCGUAUGCAUUCUUAAUAAUGUGAUGAUUUAUUUAUUAGUUAUUUAUUCAUAUUGAAAUGGCGUUUUUUUUCUUGGCUGGUCAUUCCUCAACUGUGAUUGAGGUUUAAAACAAACCCAAAGAACAGUAUUAAAAGGGAGAUUUUAUCAGUGUUAAAGAAUUUUGUGUGGUGGUCAUGGUGGAAAUUGUAGGAUCAUCCUAACCUCACUAGUAUUUCUUUGGAUGUGUGCAUUUUUAUGCAUUUUUUUGGUUUUGUUUUGUUUUGUUUUUUUUUGCAAAUUUGAGAUUUUUAUUGCUAGGUUUCUUUUAUUUUAGAGAAGCCUCAAGGGAUGUUACUAUAUCCAUGCUCGGCUCAGUUCUCUUCAGAGACUGAGUGAGAUUAGUGUGUUGUGAGAUCAGGGCUGCUGGCCUGAGAUUUUGCCUUUUGAGUUGCACAGGGUCAAGUGACCAUGUGGGGACCAGACUGCUUCCAUUUUUUAAAAAAAGUGUUAACAGUAAUUUAACAAAGUGUGCCUCUUUACUGUCACCAUUAUUUUUUUUUUCAUGUCUAACUUAAAACAAGUAAUGUGUCUUCCCGAGAGGUCCUCUUGUGUUUUAUGUAGUAAUUAGGGUUACAAAAUCAAUCAAACGUUUUACACAGAGUAGUUAUUGGGAAUAUAUGGACAUUAAUUUAAAUUUUGAAACAAAUUGUAUCAUGAACUUGAAUAUGAAUUGUCCUCAUUUGCCCUCUUGUAACACAUUGUGAUGAUGAUGGCAAACUAUCUUUGUUGAAAUGCUUCCUUCACACAGUAUGCAGUACUAUCCAAGCACAACUGAGCACUAUGCAUCACAGCAAUAUAAAGUACAGUCAACCCCAUCAUAAACUCUCUACCUGCAGUACAACUAUGGUUCCUACUUCCUUCAUCGUGAAGACACUAAGAGUAGGUUGAAAAGGUUCUUUAUGAAAAAAGUUGUUUCUCACAGUGCCAACACCAAACAUAACAGUUCCAAUCUGACAAGUAACUGGGAUUGCUUGUCUUUUUAACGCGAGUCCUCGUUUUUAUUAUUUUUGGAACCUCGUACCGUGUUGCGCAUGAUGUGUCCACUCAAUGCUGAGGUUCUAAUGGGAUACGAAUGUUACGGUUGAACGAAAGCCAGUACAAUGUUUGAACAUGCAUCCCAGAACAGACUGUUUGUUUCUUGUUGUAUCUGUGCAUUUCGGAAUAUCUGUACUCCUGCUGGUUCACUUGUGAGCACCGUGUCUUGAUCUAUUUGCACAAUAUAGCAGGAUAGAAGGAGAGAGACUAAAAAUGGUAAACCUGGCUUUAGAAUAAAAAUAGCCGAAUGCUAAAACCACAAUUAUUUUUUUUGUUUAUCGUCUCUUUAUUAAAACUGCAUUUAAUUGGUUUCAGAAAUAAAUAAUGAUUUGUCGA